UGCAUAAUAUGAUGAAUAUGAUGAUGUGGAGGGACCAAGGCGACCCCAAUAGCCCUAGAGAUGUUGUAAGACCUGGCCGGGCUGGGCAUACAGAUGUUGUAAGACCUGGCCGGGCCGGGCAUACAGAUGUUGUAAGACCUGGCCGGGCCAGGCAUACUGAGGUUAUAAGACCUGGCUGGGCCAGGCAUACUGACACUAGAGGGAGUUUUGG
rnacentral:lncRNA from 1 species